rnacentral:rRNA from 1 species
CUAGCUACAGGCUUAACACAUGCAAGUCGAGGGGCAGCAUGGUCUUAGCUUGCUAAGGCCGAUGGCGACCGGCGCACGGGUGAGUAACACGUAUCCAACCUGCCGUCUACUCUUGGACAGCCUUCUGAAAGGAAGAUUAAUACAAGAUGGCAUCAUGAGUCCGCAUGUUCACAUGAUUAAAGGUAUUCCGGUAGACGAUGGGGAUGCGUUCCAUUAGAUAGUAGGCGGGGUAACGGCCCACCUAGUCUUCGAUGGAUAGGGGUUCUGAGAGGAAGGUCCCCCACAUUGGAACUGAGACACGGUCCAAACUCCUACGGGAGGCAGCAGUGAGGAAUAUUGGUCAAUGGGCGAGAGCCUGAACCAGCCAAGUAGCGUGAAGGAUGACUGCCCUAUGGGUUGUAAACUUCUUUUAUAAAGGAAUAAAGUCGGGUAUGGAUACCCGUUUGCAUGUACUUUAUGAAUAAGGAUCGGCUAACUCCGUGCCAGCAGCCGCGGUAAUACGGAGGAUCCGAGCGUUAUCCGGAUUUAUUGGGUUUAAAGGGAGCGUAGAUGGAUGUUUAAGUCAGUUGUGAAAGUUUGCGGCUCAACCGUAAAAUUGCAGUUGAUACUGGAUAUCUUGAGUGCAGUUGAGGCAGGCGGAAUUCGUGGUGUAGCGGUGAAAUGCUUAGAUAUCACGAAGAACUCCGAUUGCGAAGGCAGCCUGCUAAGCUGCAACUGACAUUGAGGCUCGAAAGUGUGGGUAUCAAACAGGAUUAGAUACCCUGGUAGUCCACACGGUAAACGAUGAAUACUUGCUGUUUGCGAUAUACUGCAAGCGGCCAAACCGAAAGCGUUUAGUAUUCCACCUGGGGAGUACGCCGGCAAACGGUGAAACUCCAAAGGAAUUUGACGGGGGCCCCCACCACCCGGAGGAACAUGUGGUUUAAUUCGAUGAUUCGCGAGGAACCUUACCCGGGCUUAAAUUGCAGAUGAAUUACGGUGAAAGCCAUAAGCCGCAAGGCAUAUGUGAAGGUGAUGCAUGGUUGUUGUCAGCUCGUGCCGUGAGGUGUCGGAUUAAGUGCCAUAACGAGCGCAACCCUUGUUGUCAGUUUCUAACAGGUUCCGCUGAGGACUAGAACAAGACUGCCAUCGUAAGAUGUGAGGAAGGUGGGGAUGACGUCAAAUCAGCACGGCCCUUACGUCCGGGGCUACACACGUGUUACAAUGGGGGGUACAGAGGGCCGCUACCACGCGAGUGGAUGCCAAUUCCCAAAACCUCUCUCAGUUCGGACUGGAGUCUGCAACCCGACUCCACGAAGCUGGAUUCGUUAGUAAUCGCGCAUCAGCCACGGCGCGGUGAAUACGUUCCCGGGCCUUGUACACACCGCCCGUCAAGCCAUGGGAGCCGGGGGUACAAGAAGUGCGUAACCGCGAGGAGCGCCCUAGGGUAAAAC